GAUUGAUCACAUUUCUGAGGAAUGACCUUAAAGGGAGGUUGUGCAGAACUCAGUGGAUUCCUGUUAGAAUGUGUGGCGAUUGUCUCUAGGAGGGCUUGUAAAUCAGGAUGCAGAGGUCCAGUUCUGCCGGAAUGAACUCACAGCCUGUUGGCCAUUUCUGCGCAUCUCCUAGAGGAAAAAGGCAAAGUCCGGAGACGAGAAGUGACUGAAUUCCAAUGGGAAUGUCAGGAGUGGAAACAGAUAGGACUCCGUCUGGGGAUGUUGCAGAGGAAGGCCACAGACUAUGACUUGGCGAGAACUUCCCCCGUGGAAAGGGCUUUCUUCAGUUCUUCAAUGUUUUCACCGGGUAUUAGAAGAAAUUCCAUUUGGGGAAUAGACAGAUUCCUGUCUUCCAUUAUGCAAGCAUCUGCAGGAAGCAAAUAUGGCAAAUUAUUAGAGAGAAGGUAGAAGGAAGGAAGAGAGAUGAGGAUGUUGAACUCUCCAGGCCAAGGCCGUCAUGGCAGGAAGGUGUGCAGGUGCACACCUGGAUGUCCUCCAGUUGAGUAAGACUGAAAGACAGACAUUGGGACACUGAAACGGGCUCUCCAGAAAGGCCGCCAACUGGAAAUGCCCAACAGUUAAGAAAAUCACCUGGAUUUGACGUUGAAGUGUUACCUGGAUCUCUGGAGAAACUUUAAAGAAGAUAUUUUUGUUGACCUGAGGUGAAAUGUUUGAGAUGAUGGGCAGAGCAUCUCACGAUUUGGUGUUCAAAUUGUAAGAAACUGCAGUUGUGUUUGGUAAACGUUGCAUUUUAAAGCUGUUCAAAUUAGACUUCGUUGGACUCCUGGAGGUUGAAAGAUAGAGGGGUUCAGUAGAAAGAGCAUGACACAAAAUGACCUGACUUCCAAUGUCACCCUAUCACUUAGUCAACAUCUGACAUUGGGUAAGUCACUCAACCCUUUUAGGCCUGAUUUUCCUUAGAGAUAAAAUAUUAUCUAUGAAGUCUCUUCUAGCGCUACAAUUUCACUUUUUUUUUUUAAACAUUUUUCUGACUUCCUUUGCAAGUUACUAUUCAACUGAGAAAAAGAAGAAGGAACUCUAGUGGGUGAGAAAGAGAUCCUGGCAUUGACCCCUACUCCUCUGCCUUCACUACCCCUAAGAAAACUCACAGCUGCCAAAGCUCCUGCUAAUUCUUCUGUAUUUUCUCAUCAGGAAAAUCUCUGGGUAAACGAGAAUAGAUGGGCACAUUUUACUCAGUUGAAAACAAAGACCAUUAGAUUAUUACAACAAAAUUUAGAGGUUUAAAUAAAUAAACUACUAGCUAAUAUUAUUUUUACAGAGACAAUUCCCUUCUCUAUGCAUAAUACAUUUUUUAACAUCAUAAAAAUAACAUAUAACUAUGUAAUCACUUAAAAAUUCAAAUGUUAUAGAAUUUCUCUCCCCUCCAUCUUCCAAUCUUAUUUCCUUGCUCCAGAGCCAACCCCUGCUAAUGAUACAGUAUGUGUAUCUCCCAAACCACGUUUAAUUAAAUUCUGAAAAUGUACGUAUACAUUUUUGGUGACAUAAACAGAUUAUGUUAGAUUAUGCACGACCCUUGUAAAGCUCACGACGCGUGGCCUUGAAACAAUCACAGCCAUCAUCUUUUCAAUAGCCCUUGUUUUAUGGGAAACUAAUCGUAUAUCGAGGUCAACUCUAUCCUCCAGGAAGAUGAGAUUGGUGAGAAUUAAUGAAUUUUCAUAUCUUGGUUUUCUAAACACUUAUGGAAAGAUCACAUUUGAUUGGGUGAAUUAAAUUAUCCGAAUUAAAUUAUCUGUUGAGAUAACAACGGUAAAUGUUGAUUCCUGGACCUAACGUUAUCAAUUACUUCAAAGCGUGCUAUAAAAUCCACAACAGAUAAUUUUUGUUUACUGUAGCUUAGUUUUCUAAAAGUCUCUGUGAUGCCCUGACAGGUCGAGGCUUUAUGCUGUGGUAGCUGUUGUGCUGUAGGAGCGACGGAUGUCACAAAAUCCAGUCUACUACAUUGCCAGUCUCUAAACCUGGAUCCCACAGCAUCCUAGGCACAUCUUUUCCACAGCUUCACAGCACAAGACCCAGAGCUGGGAUUUGCAACUGCUUUGAUCUACUGUGUCCCAGCACCUAGAACAGUGUCUGGUGCAUAGCAGGUACUUAUUAGGUAUUUGUGUUUUGACUGUAUUUGUUUUACUGAAUCCUCUGUCAUACUGUACGCUUUUCGGCGGUAUGGACCAUAACGUAUCCAUCUUUACAGUUCUCUAACUGUUAUCAGAACAUGAUUGG
ensembl:lncRNA